rnacentral:rRNA from 1 species
GUGGGGGAUAUUGCACAAUGGAGGAAACUCUGAUGCAGCGACGCCGCGUGAGUGAAGAAGUAUUUCGGUAUGUAAAGCUCUAUCAGCAGGGAAGAAAGGCUCUAAGGAGAGAUGACGGUACCUGACUAAGAAGCCCCGGCUAACUACGUGCCAGCAGCCGCGGUAAUACGUAGGGGGCAAGCGUUAUCCGGAUUUACUGGGUGUAAAGGGAGCGCAGACGGUUAUGCAAGUCUGAAGUGAAACCCCACGGCUCAACCGUGGGCUUGCUUUGGAAACUGUAUAACUAGAGUACUGGAGAGGUAAGCGGAAUUCCUAGUGUAGCGGUGAAAUGCGUAGAUAUUAGGAGGAACAUCGGUGGCGAAGGCGGCUUACUGGACAGCAACUGACGUUGAGGCUCGAAGGCGUGGGGAGCAAACAGG